AGUGAACGCUGGUGGCGUGCUUAACACAUGCAAGUCGAACGAGAACGGAAUAUAGCUUGCUAUAUUUGUCAGCUAAGUGGCGCACGGGUGAGUAAUGUAUAGAUAACCUGCACUUAAGAAAGGAAUAACAGUUGGAAACGACUGCUAAUGCCCUAUAUGCCUUUAAUACAUAAGUAUGCAAGGGAAACGCUUUAGUGCUUAAGGAUGGGUCUGUAUGGUAUAAGCUUGUUGGUGAGGUAAUGUCUCACAAAGGCUAUGACGCCUAACUGGUUUGAGAGGCAGAUCAGUGACACUGGAACUGAGACACGGUCCAGACUCCUACGGGAGGCAGCAGUGGGGAAUAUUGCACAAUGGACGAAAGUCUGAUGCAGCACCGCCGCGUGGAGGAUGACACAUUUCGGUGCGUAAACUCCUUUUAUAUAGGAAGAUAAUGACGGUACUAUAUGAAUAAGCACCGGCUAACUCCGUGCCAGCCGCCGCCGUAACAC
rnacentral:rRNA from 1 species